rnacentral:rRNA from 1 species
AGUCGAGCGGAGAUGAGGUGCUUGCACCUUAUCUUAGCGGCGGACGGGUGAGUAAUGCUUAGGAAUCUGCCUAUUAGUGGGGGACAACAUUCCGAAAGGAAUGCUAAUACCGCAUACGUCCUACGGGAGAAAGCAGGGGAUCUUCGGACCUUGCGCUAAUAGAUGAGCCUAAGUCGGAUUAGCUAGUUGGUGGGGUAAAGGCCUACCAAGGCGACGAUCUGUAGCGGGUCUGAGAGGAUGAUCCGCCACACUGGGACUGAGACACGGCCCAGACUCCUAUGGGAGGCAGCAGUGGGGAAUAUUGGACAAUGGGGGGAACCCUGAUCCAGCCAUGCCGCGUGUGUGAAGAAGGCCUUAUGGUUGUAAAGCACUUUAAGCGAGGAGGAGGCUACUGAGACUAAUACUCUUGGAUAGUGGACGUUACUCGCAGAAUAAGCACCGGCUAACUCUGUGCCAGCAGCCGCGGUAAUACAGAGGGUGCGAGCGUUAAUCGGAUUUACUGGGCGUAAAGCGUGCGUAGGCGGCUUUUUAAGUCGGAUGUGAAAUCCCCGAGCUUAACUUGGGAAUUGCAUUCGAUACUGGGAAGCUAGAGUAUGGGAGAGGAUGGUAGAAUUCCAGGUGUAGCGGU